rnacentral:rRNA from 1 species
AUUGAACGCUGGCGGCAGGCCUAACACAUGCAAGUCGAACGAGUGGCGGACGGGUGCGUAAUGUCUGUGAAACUGCCCGAUGGAGGGGGAUAACUACUGGAAACGGUAGCUAAUACCGCAUACCAUCGGAUGUUCCCAGAUGGGAUUAGCUAGUAGGUGGGGUAACGGCGCACCUAGGCGACGGUCCCUAGCUGGUCUGCGAGGAUGACCAGCAACACUGGAAAGGAGACACGGUCCAGACUCCUACGGGAGGCAGCAGUGGGGAAUAUUGCACAAUGGGCGCAAGCCUGCUGCAGCCAUGCCGCGUGGAUGAAGAAGGCCUUCGGGUUGUAAAGUACUUUCAGCGAGGAGGCGUUACUCGCAGAAGAAGCACCGGCUAACUCCGUGCCAGCAGCCGCGGUAAUAC